GACGAACGCUGGCGGCGUGCCUAAUACAUGCAAGUUGAGCGAUGAAGAUUGGUGCUUGCCCCAAUUUGAAGAGCAGCGAACGGGUGAGUAACGCGUGGGGAAUCUGCCUUUGAGCGGGGGACAACAUUUGGAAACGAAUGCUAAUACCGCAUAACAACUUUAAACAUAAGUUUUAAGUUUGAAAGAUGCAAUUGCAUCACUCAAAGAUGAUCCCGCGUUGUAUUAGCUAGUUGGUGAGGUAAAGGCUCACCAAGGCGAUGAUACAUAGCCGACCUGAGAGGGUGAUCGGCCACAUUGGGACUGAGACACGGCCCAAACUCCUACGGGAGGCAGCAGUAGGGAAUCUUCGGCAAUGGACGAAAGUCUGACCGAGCAACGCCGCGUGAGUGAAGAAGGUUUUCGGAUCGUAAAACUCCGUUGGUAGAGAAGAACGUUGGUGAGAGUGGAAAGCUCAUCAAGUGACGGUAACUACCCAGAAAGGGACGGCUAACUACGUG
rnacentral:rRNA from 1 species